UUUUUUUUUUUUUUUUUAGAUUUUAUUUAUUUAUUCAUGACAGAUUCAUAGAGGCAGAAACACAGGCAGAGGGAGAAGCAGACUCCAUGCAAGGAGCCCGAUGUGGGACUCGAUCCCUGAACCCCAGGAUCACGCCCUGAGCCAAAGACAGAUGCUCAACCACUGUGCCACCCAGGCGUCCCUCCCUCUGUUCUAAUAGUUUAUGACCUUCAGUUCAUUCUGCAACUCACCAUCUUCCUGCUAAAUCAGGUAAAUCUAGUCCAAUCCACUAGGGCAACCUAAACAAAAUAAACUUGUCCUAAGACCACAGAUGAGGUCUCUGCAGUGUCCCUGGGAUUCUUCAGGAAGCCUACAAUAAGAAAAGUCUCUUAUAUCCCUCAUGCUAAAAGUUACAAGACUCUGGAGUCAUGUUUACAAGCGUCACCAAGAGUCACAAGGCUCAGGACGCUCUGGAGAAGGCUGGGUGAUGCGAGUCUGACUCUCCAGAGCCCACAGCUUCCUCAUUGGCCACAUAUCCUCCAACCCCCCAACCAUGGAUCUGGACCAAAGGAAGGAAGUAGGUGCAUUCCAGACAGCUGGAGAAGAUCCUAUUUGGAUGGUUCUCAUCACAAGAGGGCAGCAUGUGUCCAGCAAGCAACUAAUCCAUUCUGUCAGUGGCCCCCAAAAGGGUCCAGCUGUGCUGGGGGCCUCGUGACCGACACAUUGUCCUUUAAUGAAGACUCCAUACCAAAUACACAGUGAAAGAAGCAAUUUCGUUUCAAGCCCAUUCAUCCUUGUGUUCAAAGACAUGGGUAAGCAGAGUCGGCGAAGGCUCAGUAAAGAGUAGUACUGACUGCAAGUCCCUGGGCCCUGAGGAUUGAGGUUCAAAUCUCAGUACUACCGGGUAGUCAUGUGACCUUGAAAAGUAGCUGAGCUUUUCUGUUGCUUGGGUUUCCCACUCUAAUAACAGUAUUCCCCUCAGAGGGUUGUUUGGUUAAUGGAGUAUAUUAAUAUACGUAAAGCACGUAAGACAGUACCUAACCUGUAGUAAGGGUUCCAGAAUAGUAACUCUUAUUAUCUGAUCACAACAUUUUCCUUCCAGCACUGCCUUCAUGAGCACCAGGGAUAAGGCAAAAGAAAAGAGGGGCCCGUGCUGGGCCAUCAUCCCUGUCCUUCAGAGCCCCUCCAAAACACCACCACCAUUUUCAGACUGAUAACAAGCUCUGGACUGUUAAGCAGCCUUGAGCCAGAAGCCAUUUCUAAGGCUGAAUACCUCUGGGAUAAGAUGCAUUCCCCGUACUUGACAUCGUCUUUCAUUUUUAUUUUGCUAAGGAACUGCAUAUCCGUGUCAUACCCAGAAAUGUGGAUGAGGGAGGCCAAAAGCCUGUUUGCAUCGUGAUUUGAUUUCACAGAUGUCAGCAUAUACUAUCUGGCCUUCUACGUACAAUCAUAUGGCUGGAGGUCAUUUCUUUGAUGUCAGCCUGUGGUUCUCUGUUUCUGGCAUUCUUUUCUUUCAUUCAUUAACAUUGCUCCUGAUUCCCCAGCCUGUUGAAGGAAUGAAUGACGGGAGUCGUGAGAGGACGGUAGGAAGGGAGGUAGACAAGGGAAAACAAAACAGAUCGGGAGGGUGGGAGGUGGGUGGGUGAACUGAAUCCUGGCUCGCACCCAGCUGUGUCAGCUCCUAGCACCUUGUCCGGGGGCUGGCGCAGUGUGGCUCAGGCCAUCAGCCCAGUGUCCUGGGCCCUGAUAUCUACGGAGACAGCGGCUCAUCAUCUGUUGAGCAGCUGUGGGGGAUAUCCCAGCUGCCCACUGCUACUUUUAUAUUUCCCAGUGGGUUUUAUUUUGUAUUUCCCACAUUCCUAGGCAAUGUGUAAGGUCUUUUUCCUUCCGUCAAGAUAAUGCACUUAUUUCUAAUUCAUUUUCCCAGGAGGAUUCAUUGGUGAUCAACAGCAUUCUUCCAUUUGAAUCAUCUAGUUCAGUGAAAUUCAUCUAGUUUUCAACCCUUUUUUUCCCCAUUAUUGUCCCUUUAAGGAGACUUUUUAGACAUCUUUUCCUCAUCUGCCUCCCCAUCAUGAAAUUCUAACACCACAGUUAUACUGUAUUUCUCUUUAUGGCCCCUGGGCACAAAUCAUUGAAUACCCAAGUUCUUUCUGGUCCCCCAUGAACCAGUUCUCACCCUCUUAGGGGUGAUACCCUCCUGGUUGAGAAUGCUUGAUCCAGUCAAACCCAAGAUAAUUCUUGUUACCCUUGCCAUCUCAAAAAACCCUCUGCCACCUAAAGACUGUUUGCCUUUAUACACAUUAUUCAACUUCUAGUCUAAUAAAUUUUCGUAGUUACAACAUUCUUAUUCCUUCCUUCACUUUUAUCUGUCCUAAAGCAAUUUUGUUUCUAAAUCAAUUUUAGUCAUUGUGCAAAAACACUGCUGGUCUUGUUUUUAAAAAAAUGCUAAUCGUAAAAGGGGAACAGGCUGUCCUAACCGGGACAGUUCCUACCUGAAGUUUCCGGCACCAGCAGCUUCAGAGCUGAACUUCACUGACUGCCCCAGGCCUGUGGGCAGAACUGGAGGCUGACCAAAUUUGCCUUUGCUGUUGUCCCACUUCCCUUUCUCACCUCCUAAUUCCCCUACUCUCACAACACAUCCAAGAGACCCACAGAACCCAAGCCUCUCUGCAAGCCCAGAGUGCCUAACUCCUAUAUCGGCAUCCUCAACCCAGAAAAAUUCCAGAACACAUUGGGCUCUUUUGAAAGGGUUGAUCCUUGCAACUCUUAAGCAGAGCUGAGAAGGCCAGCCCAUCCAUCCUUCCAUCCCUUCCUCCCCCAGCUCCUCCCCCUCAGAGAUAAAUAUUGAAGACCUACUUUAUCCCAAGUGUUUUGGGGGCUGGUAGGAAUAUAAUGAUUAAUGUCAUGUCUGGAAUUUCAUUUUACCCUAUUUACAAGUUAAUAAGUUAGACUGUUACUGUUUCAUGGAUGCUGGCAUGACACAAGAGACUCCUGAGUCAGACACAAGACUUACCAUCCACAGGACAGCAGAGAGCUGAUGGUGAAUAAAAUUGGUCUCAAUAAGGAAAUUAGUCAACACUGAAUGUUUUUGUAAGGUCAAAGUGAGAUUAGUCCUGAAAAGUGCCCAUGGGUUCAGUGACAUGGAGGCUAAGCAACACCUGGAUAAUAGCCAUUUUGGUAAACUGAUAGCAGGGAAGCCAGACUGGAGUGGGUUGAGAAGUAACUGAAUUUAGGAGGUCUUUCAAGAAAUAUAUGAAAGAAAAGAUAGGACAGUGCUCAAAGGGGAUAUGGAAUCUAGGGAGGGUUCAUUCAUCUAAAGACAGACCAGGAGUUAAAUGCUAAUUGGGAGAGAGGGACAGGUGUAGGAGGAGUGGCAGGUAUAGGAGGGAGUGAGGUGGUGACUGAGAACUCGAGGCUCCUGAGGUGAGCCGGGCCUCAGCCUGUAGCACAAAUGAGAGACUGAGGCUUUCACAAGCAGCAAGGCUUUGCUAAGGUGGGGUGCGGACCAGAGGGGUAUGUGAGGCUAGGAGGAGGAUGCUGGCACACUGUCAACAACCAGGGCUAAUGCCAGACUCUGAAACAAUCAUCUCUUUAUGGAGAAGGGGAACCACAAACAGAGUAGAAUAGAAUAUAUUUCUUCUAAAUGUGGAAACCUUUUUCGGGAGAAUUUUUGCCCAUUUUGAUUCCUUUGGUUUCUGAAAAGACAAAAAAAGGUGUUAAGUAGGCAGCACUUACAGUCUUCCCCCAACUGUCUUUCCUCAGAAGGAAGCCUCCAGGGCCUACUUCACUGAACGAAGUCAAGGACACCAAAACAUUACUGUAAUUGUGCCAAACGCCCAUAGAAGGUUCACAGUAUUUCGGCCUCUCUUCUAAUCAUUUAUAUAUACUUUUUUCCACUCCUUACAGUAACCUGAUGAUAUCAAGGAAACUGAGCUACAGCGAGUUAAAGUAACUUGCCCGAGAUCACACAGUAUGUGAGACGCAGAUAAUCAAGCCAUCUGGCUCCAGUUUGUAUGCUCAACCAUUACGCCAUACGACCGCUAUCCCUGAGCACCAAUAAAGAGUAAUCCCAAGAUGAGCAGUAACAAGGAGACCUUCAGCAAGAGACGAGGAACAGUUUGAGGCUGCAGGAACAGGUGGAUCCGUUAAGCAUCAGGUACGAAGGGCCACCUUAACUUGGAUGGUAAGCUAAAACAUCACUGCAGUGUUGAUUCUUUACUUUUUUAAUUUUUUAAAAGAUUUUAUUUAUUUAUUCACGAGAGACACAGAGAGAGGCAGAGACAUAGGCAGAGGGAGAAGCA
rnacentral:lncRNA from 1 species